UCAGUGUUCUUCUAUGGAGGUCUUUGCGUGUGUUUAUCGUUUGGUGCGUGGAGUCUGCCAGGAACUGUUAUCCAGGCUGCAAUGGGAAUUGGUGGAGCUUGUUCAGGCCCUGUACUUGGCGUAUUCCUUCUGGGAGCAGCAGCACCGUGGGGGAACAUAACGGGGGCUGCGUCUGGCUUGCUGGUGUCUCUGGUGCUGAACGUGUGGAUCGCUCUCGGCGGCAUCAUGUACGGACGUAGACCUGUACCACUACCGCCGGCACCUGGCAACUUCUGUCACGUUCUGGAUGCAGCCAACAUAACAGG